UACGGGGGGGGCAAGCGUUGUUCGGAAUUACUGGGCGUAAAGGGCGCGUAGGCGGUUCGCUAAGUUGAAUGUGAAAACUCUGGGCUUAACCCAGAGCCUGCAUUCAAUACUGGCGGGCUAGAGUUCUGGAGGGGAUAGCGGAAUUCCUGGUGUAGCGGUGAAAUGCGUAGAUAUCUGGAGAAUACCGGUGGCGAAGGCGGCCAACUGGACGAAUACUGACGCUGAGACUCGAAAAGCGUGGGGAGCAAACAGG
rnacentral:rRNA from 1 species